GGAUCAAUGCUGAGUCCUCCAAUAACAUUCCUUGGAAAAGCUGAACAAAAUGAGUGAAAACCNGCGCACCCAAGUUCC
rnacentral:snoRNA from 1 species